CGGAACCCCUAAAAGCUUGUUCCUCGAGCGGGAGAGAGAAGCUUGCUUCUCUUGAGAGCGGCGGACGGGUGAGUAAUGCCUAGGAAUCUGCCUGGUAGUGGGGGAUAACGUUCGGAAACGGACGCUAAUACCGCAUACGUCCUACGGGAGAAAGCAGGGGACCUUCGGGCCUUGCGCUAUCAGAUGAGCCUAGGUCGGAUUAGCUAGUUGGUGAGGUAAUGGCUCACCAAGGCAACGAUCCGUAACUGGUCUGAGAGGAUGAUCAGUCACACUGGAACUGAGACACGGUCCAGACUCCUACGGGAGGCAGCAGUGGGGAAUAUUGGACAAUGGGCGAAAGCCUGAUCCAGCCAUGCCGCGUGUGUGAAGAAUGGUCCUCGAAUCGGUAAAGCACUUUAAGUUAGGGAGGAAGAGCAGGUAACUUAAUACGUGAUUGUUUUGACGUUACCGACAGGAAUUAAGCACCGGCUAACUCUGUGCCCAGCAGCCGCGGUAAUACAGAGGGGUGCAAGCGUUAAUCGGAAAUUACUGGGCGUAAAGCGCGCGUAGGUGGUUAGUUAAGUUGGGAUGUGAAAUCCCCGGGCUCAACCUGGGAACUGCAUUCAAAACUGACUGACUAGAGUAUGGUAGAGGGUGGUGGAAUUUCCUGUGUAGCGGUGAAAUGCGUAGAUAUAGGAAGGAACACCAGUGGCGAAGGCGACCACCUGGACUGAUACUGACACUGAGGUGCGAAAGCGUGGGGAGCAAACAGGAUUAGAUACCCUGGUAGUCCACGCCGUAAACGAUGUCAACUAGCCGUUGGGAGCCUUGAGCUCUUAGUGGCGCAGCUAACGCAUUAAGUUGACCGCCUGGGGAGUACGGCCGCAAGGUUAAAACUCAAAUGAAUUGACGGGGGCCCGCACAAGCGGUGGAGCAUGUGGUUUAAUUUCGAAGCAACGCGAAGAACCUUUACCAGGCCCUUGACAUCCCAAUGAACUUUCUAGAGAAUAGAUUGGGUGCCUUUCGGGAACAUUGAGAACAGGUGCUGCAUGACUGUCGUCAGCCUCCGUGUCGUGCAAAAUGUUGGGUUAAGUCCCGUAACGAGGCGCCAACCCCGGUCCUUAGUUACACAGCCAACGUUAAUGGUGGGCACUCUAAGGAGACUGCCGGUGACAAACCGGAGGAAGGUGGGGAUGACGUCAAGUCAUCAUGGCCCUUACGGCCUGGGCUACACACGUGCUACAAUGGUCGGUACAGAGGGUUGCCAAGCCGCGAGGUGGAGCUAAUCCCAGAAAACCGAUCGUAGUCCGGAUCGCAGUCUGCAACUCGACUGCGUGAAGUCGGAAUCGCUAGUAAUCGCGAAUCAGAAUGUCGCGGUGAAUACGUUCCCGGGCCUUGUACACACCGCCCGUCACACCAUGGGAGUGGGUUGCACCAGAAGUAGCUAGUCUAAAAUGUGGCAACAGGGUCCCCUGUAGUUUUCCCCCC
rnacentral:rRNA from 1 species